rnacentral:rRNA from 1 species
AGCAGCCGCGGUAAUUCCAGCUCCAAUAGCGUAUAUUAAAGUUGUUGCAGUUAAAAAGCUCGUAGUUGAAUUUCGGGACUAAUAUGUCGGUCGUACUUUGUACGUACUAGCAUUAUUGGUUUCUCCCUUCUGACGAACCACGAUGUCAUUAAUUUGGUGUCAUGGGAAAUCAGGACUGUUACUUUGAAAAAAUUAGAGUGUUUAAAGCAAGCUCGCGCUUGAAUACAUUAGCAUGGAAUAAUGAAAUAGGAUGUUUGAUUCUAUUUUGUUGGUUUCUAGGAUCGACGUAAUGAUUAAUAGGGAUAGUUGGGGGCAUUAGUAUUCAAUUGUCAGAGGUGAAAUUCUUGGAUUUAUUGAAGACUAACUACUGCGAAAGCAUUUGCCAAGGAUGUUUUCAUUAAUCAAGAACGAGAGUUAGGGGAUCGAAGACGAUCAGAUACCGUCGUAGUCUUAACCAUAAACUAUGCCGACUAGGGAUCGGAUGAUGUUAAUUUUUAAUGA